rnacentral:rRNA from 1 species
GACGAACGCUGGCGGCGUGCCUAAUACAUGCAAGUAGGACGCAGUUGCGAACGGGUGAGUAACGCGUAGGUAACUGCCUAUUAGAGGGGGAUAACUAUUGGAAACGAUAGCUAAUACCGCAUACUAGUAGAUGGACCUGCGUUGUAUUAGCUAGUAGGUAGGGUAAUGGCCUACCUAGGCAACGAUACAUAGCCGACCUGGGAGGGUGAUCGGCCAAAACGGGACUGGGACACGGCCCAGGCGUCUACGGGAGGCAGCAGUAGGGAAUCUUCGGCAAUGGGGGGAACCCUGAACGAGCAACGGCGCGUGAGUGAAGAAGGUUUUCGGAGCGUAAAGCUCUGUUGUUAAGGAAGCGGUACUUAACCAGAAAGGGACGGCUAACUACGGGCCAGCAGCCGCGGUAAUUC